rnacentral:tRNA from 1 species
GGAGAGGUGGCCGAGUGGCUGAAGGCACCACACUGCUAAAGUGGAGGGGUGUAAAAACCCUCGCGAGUUCGAAUCUCGCCCUCUCCG